GAACGCAUACUUUAGAGUAUGAGUGGCAGACGGGUGAGUAACGCGUGAGACAUCUACCUUACAGCCCGGUAUAAAUAUCUAUAUAGAGGCGAAAAUCUUUAUAUAUGAGUGAAUCCCGGAUAUUUUGAAUAAAAAAAAAGGCAAAGAACCGUUGUAAGAUGAGCUCGCGUAGGAUUAGGUAGUUGGUAAGGUAAAAGCUUAUCCAAGCCGAUGAUCCUUAGCUGUUCUGAGAGGAUGAUCAGCCACACUGGGACUGAGACACGGCCCAGACGCUUUCGAGCGGCAGCAGUGAGGAAUUUUGGACAAUGGGCGAAAGCCUGAUCCAGCUAUAUCGCAUGAAUGAAGAAGGCUCAAUUGGUUGUAAAAUUCAUAGUUUCAUUGUAGAUUAUGACAUUGAUGAAAUGAAUAGUCCCGGCCAACUCCGUGC
rnacentral:rRNA from 1 species